rnacentral:sRNA from 1 species
AGCCUGCGGCGCAGCGGAGGCGGAGCGCAGUCAAGUCUGCAGAGUGGUGCGUCUGUAGCCAGCAAAUUACUUUAUCAUCUAGAUUAUCCAUUCAAUUGAUCCUAAUUAGCAAGGAUAACAAGGUAACACAAGGCUUACUUAUAUUCACCCAACAAAAGUGUCUCUGUGGAGCCACUUCCCAGUGAACUACAUACUGAGAUAGGGGUUCCUGGAUGAGAAGGACCAAGGACAGAACCGAGAAGAGUUUAGGGGCAGGUUAUGCGAGAUGGAAAUGGCGCAGAUAACGGAGGGAAGGAUUUGAGGGCUCAAACGUAGGCGUCUGUGUUUCGCAAAAGUUGGAGACAUUCUAGGCUGCCUCUCGUUGCCUCCAUCUCGCUCUGCGCGGGUUUUGGAGGACAUUAGCAUUCUUUCUUGUAUCUCCGUUGAUUCCAGAAUCGUCCGCACUUCAGUCCCCUGCAGCGUGACCAUGUCGAGACCCCGGAAGAGGCUGGCUGGGACUUCUGGUUCAGACAAGGGACUAUCAGGAAAACGCACCAAAACUGAGAACUCAGGUGAGGCAUUAGCUAAAGUGGAGGACUCCAACCCUCAGAAGACUUCAGCCACUAAAAACUGUUUGGAGAAUCUAAGCAGCCACUGGCUGAUGAAGUCAGAGCCAGAGAGCCGCCUAGAGAAAGGUGUAGAUGUGAAGUUCAGCAUUGAGGAUCUCAAAGCACAGCCCAAACAGACAACAUGCUGGGAUGGUGUUCGUAACUACCAGGCUCGGAACUUCCUUAGAGCCAUGAAGCUGGGAGAAGAAGCCUUCUUCUACCAUAGCAACUGCAAAGAGCCAGGCAUCGCAGGACUCAUGAAGAUCGUGAAAGAGGCUUACCCAGACCACACACAGUUUGAGAAAAACAAUCCCCAUUAUGACCCAUCUAGCAAAGAGGACAACCCUAAGUGGUCCAUGGUAAAGACUAUGCUUUCUAUUUCAUGACAGGGGAGGGAUGAACCAAGGGAAGAAGACGGUUGGGGUGACUGUAGGUCAAGGUACACAGCCCAGCACUUACUCAGAUGAGGCGAUACUGAUAGGAGC